rnacentral:rRNA from 1 species
ACCAAAACUAGCCCAAUCAACCAUAAACUCAACUACCACAACAGUCCGCAAUUAAAACAUUUAAUUACGCCAUAAUAGUAUAGGAGAUAGAAAUUAUACUUGGAGCUAUAGAGAAAGUACCGUAAGGGAACGAUGAAAGAAAAUUUAAAGUAGUAAAUAGCAAAGAUUACCCCUUGUACCUUUUGCAUAAUGAAUUAGCUAGAACAAUUUAGCAAAGAGACCUUGAGCUAAACCCCCCGAAACCAGACGAGCUACCUAUGAACAAUCCACGGGGAUAAACUCAUCUAUGUUGCAAAAUAGCGAGAAGAUUUGUAGGUAGAGGUGAAAAGCCUAACGAGCCUGGUGAUAGCUGGUUGCCCAGAAUAGAAUCUCAGUUCAACUUUAAAUUUACCUAACAACCCUAAAAUUGUAAUGUAAAUUUAAAAUAUAGUCUAAAAAGGUACAGCUUUUUAGAAUGAGGAUACAACCUUACUUAGAGAGUAAAAUUGAAUGAAACCAUAGUAGGCUUAAGAGCAGCCACCAAUUAAGAAAGCGUUCAAGCUCAACAAUGCAUUCCCCCUUAAUCCCAAAAAUCCCAAACAACUCCUAAUAUUUUACUGGGCUAAUCUAUUUAGUAAUAGAAGCAAUAAUGCUAGCAUGAGUAACAAGAAAUACUUCUCCUUGCAUAAUCUUAUAACAGUCGACGGAUGCCCGCUGAUAGUUAACAACAUGAUGAAAACAAACCACCCAUAAAAUACCCAUCAAAUCAAUUGUUAGCCCAACACAGGUAUGCUACAAGGAAAGAUUAAAAGAAGUAGAAGGAACUCGGCAAACACAAACCCCGCCUGUUUACCAAAAACAUCACCUCCAGCAUAUCUAGUAUUGGAGGCACUGCCUGCCCAGUGACAUUAGUUUAACGGCCGCGGUAUCCUGACCGUGCAAAGGUAGCAUAAUCAUUUGUUCUCUAAAUAGGGACUUGUAUGAACGGCCACACGAGGGUUUAACUGUCUCCUACUUCCAAUCAGUGAAAUUGACCUUCCCGUGAAGAGGCGGGAAUAAACCAAUAAGACGAGAAGACCCUAUGGAGCUUCAAUUAACUAGCCCACAGUAAUCCACCUCACCACCCACCGGGUUUAAUAAAACCUUACUACUAGGCUAGCAAUUUAGGUUGGGGUGACCUCGGAGAAUAGAACAACCUCCGAGUGAUUUCAGCACAGACAGACCAGUCGAAGCAUUUCAUCAUUUAUUGAUCCAAUAACUUGAUCAACGGAACAAGUUACCCUAGGGAUAACAGCGCAAUCCUAUUCAAGAGUCCAUAUCAACAAUAGGGUUUACGACCUCGAUGUUGGAUCAGGACAUCCUAAUGGUGCAGCAGCUAUUAAGGGUUCGUUUGUUCAACGAUUAAAGUCCUACGUGAUCUGAGUUCAGACCGGAGCAAUCCAGGUCGGUUUCUAUCUAUUACAAUGGCUUCUCCCAGUACGAAAGGACAAGAGAAGUAAGGCCCAUUCUACCAGAACGCCUUAGGACUAAUAGAUGACAUAAUCUCAAUCUAGCCAGUCCCCUUUCUUCACGGCCCUAGAGAUAGGGCUU